GCCUCGCUAGCUCAAUCGGUAGAGCGUGAGACUCUUAAAAAGUCAGGCGGAUUGAGAUCAUCUCAAGGUUGCGGGUUCGACCCCCGCGUGGGGCU